rnacentral:rRNA from 1 species
UCAGGAUGAACGCUAGCGACAGGCCUAACACAUGCAAGUCAGGGGCAGCACAAGGAGCAAUCUGAGGUGGCGACCGGCGCACGGGUGAGUAACACGUAUGCAACCUGCCUGUAAGCGGGGAAUAACCCGUUGAAAGACGGACUAAUACCGCAUAAUACUAAAUUACUGCAUGGUAAUUUAUUUAAACAUUUAUGGCUUACAGAUGGGCAUGCGCAUGAUUAGCUAGUUGGAGAGGUAACGGCUCCCCAAGGCAACGAUCAUUAGGGGUUCUGAGAGGAAGGUCCCCCCACACUGGUACUGAGACACGGACCAGACUCCUACGGGAGGCAGCAGUGAGGAAUAUUGGUCAAUGGACGAGAGUCUGAACCAGCCAAGUCGCGUGCAGGAAGAAUGUCCUAUGGAUUGUAAACUGCUUUUGCAGGGGAAUAAAGUGCAUCACGUGUGAUGUUUUGUAUGUACUCUGCGAAUAAGGAUCGGCUAACUCCGUGCCAGCCGCAGC